AAAAAGAAGAAUUGAUAGUUUGCUAAUACCGUUGAACUCCAAGCAUUUUUUAUAUUUACUUUUGCAUCAUUUUCUACUACAUUAGAUAGAGAAUUUAGAAAAAUUUGUGCUAGAAAUUUCAAAAUUUAAAAAGUAAUAUACUUUAAAACUUAAGGGUAUAAAUCUCAGUCAAUAAGAAAAGAGUAUUAAAGAAAUUAACAAUCAUCAAAAAACUUUCAAUGCUUUAGAUUAAGAAUUGAAAAGCACAGUUUUUUGGAACUAAAGAAAUAAAUAAAAAAUGAAUCCAAGGCAUAUAGG
rnacentral:lncRNA from 1 species